rnacentral:lncRNA from 1 species
AUGUUGGUGAACUCCGUGAUCAUCAAGUGGUUGGCGUUGAGUCCACGCUCCGCCAUCCCUUGGCACUUGAAGACUUGUUGCUCAUUGCUUCGAGCCUCGUCUCCAUGCUUCCGGUCUUCUUGGGCCCCUCAACAUCACGGAUCUGCAACAUCCCCUCACGCAUCUCGAUAGAUUGAGGGUGUUGCAGCACUCCUGUGAGGUAGGGAUUGAUGACCUUCUCGAAGAUCUUGUCCUUCGGAGCUUUUGGGGAAGUCAUGGCGAUUUAGAUCUGCAACAGAAACAGGCUCGAAACGAAAAACAGAGGAAAUCUGCGUGAUGCAGGGGUCACACCAAAUGGAAGUAUAUAUAAUGAUUUUUUCAGACCAGAAGGAGUACCGUGCACGAAAACGGAGUCUGGAAGGUGCACGAGGUUGCCACAACCCCUCACGGCGCGGCCAGGGGGUGGGCCCGCGCCGUGCAGGCUUGUCGCCUCCUCGCGCACUUUCCGGACUACUGGAAAAUUCCUACUGGAAAUUUUUUGUAUUUUUUCAAAUAUUCCAAAACAUAGAAAAAUUCCUACUAGAAAAGUUUUGGACUCUGUUUUCUUACCAAAUCACAUACCUCUUCGUUUUCAGAGUCUGAAACAGGCUGAUAAAUAUCCCUUAGGUAUUCUUCCGGAGUUAUGGUAUUGAUGAUAUUGCUUUCAACAUUUUUGGGAGUACCUGAGAUAUAAUGCUUGAUUCUCUGCCCAUUUACCACUCUCGGACAAUUACCUUCCAUGUUGUUGAUCUUGAUAGCACAGGAACGAUAUACUUCCUCAACAACAUAGGGACCUUCCCAUUUAGAGAGAAGCUUGCCUGCAAAGAAUCUUAAACGAGAGUUAUAUAGCAAGACAUAAUCACCUACAUUGAACUCACGCUUUUGUAUCCUCUUAUCAUGCCACCUCUUAACCUUCUCAUUGAACAACUUGGCAUUCUCAUAUGCCUGAGUUCUCCAUUCAUCAAGCGAGCUAAUAUCAAAUAACCUCUUCACACCGGCAAGUUUGAAAUCAAAGUUGAGCUCUUUGAUUGCCCAAUAAGCUUUAUGCUCUAGCUCAAGAGGUAAAUGACAUGCUUUACCGUACACCAUUUUGUACGGAGACAUGCCCAUGGGAUUCUUAUAGGCAGUUCUAUAAGCCCACAGUGCAUCAUCGAGCUUCUUAGACCAAUUCUUUCUAGACCUGUUGACAGUCUUUUGCAGAAUUAGUUUAAUCUCUCUAUUGCUUAGCUCUACUUGGCCACUGGACUAAGGGUGGUAGGGAGACACAAUUCUAUGGUUGAGAUCAUACUUAGCAAGCGUUUUACUGAAAGCACCAUGAAUGAAGUGUGAACCACCGUUCGUCAUUAGAUAUCUAGGGACUCCAAAUCUAGGGAAGAUAACUUCUUUAAGCAUCCUGAUAGAGGCGUUGCGAUCAGCACUCCUAGUGGGGAUAGCUUCUACCCACUUAGUGACGUAAUCAACAGCAACUAGGAUAUGAGUAUACCCGUUGGAUUUUGGAAAAGGUCCCAUAUAAUCAAAGCCCCAGACAUCAAAUGGUUCAAUGACAAGUGAAUAGUUCAUAGGCAUUUCCUGACGUUUGCUAAUAUUACCUAUUCUUUGACAUUCUUCACAACACAAGACAAACUUACGGGCAUCCUUGAAGAGAGUGGGACAAUAGAAAUCUGAUUGCAAUACCUUGUGUGCAGUUCUAUCUCCCGCAUGGUGUCCUCCGUAGGCCUCGGAGUGACACUUCUGUAGGAUCUAUCCCUGUUCAUGUUCAGGUACACAACGUCUNNNNNNNNNNNNNNNNNNNNNNNNNNNNNNNNNNNNNNNNNNNNNNNNNNNNNNNNNNNNNNNNNNNNNNNNNNNNNNNNNNNNNNNNNNNNNNNNNNNNUUUUGCAACACAGAAAACUUGGGGUGAAAAACAGGGUGUGAAAUGCUAAGGGAUCUCUAAUCAUAUAACAUUUUUCGGAAUCAAGCAAACACAAUUCAUUAUGUUGUCUUCCUUGUCCAACGUCUACUUCUAAGCAUGCAAUAGUUUAAUGAGUGUUCACAAUCAUAGAUGGUGUCAAAGACGAUGUAUUUAUAUGUGAACCUCUCCUUCUUUAUCACUUCCUACUAAUUGCAACAAUGAGCAAGGUCUACGUUUGUCUAUCCUCAACAAGUGUCAAUCAACAUUCUUUUUAUAUGUGAAGCCAUCACUUCCCAUAAGAUCAUUACAUGAUCUUUCAUGUUUUUGUUCUUUUCUCACUCUUUUGAUCAUGGCAAGAGGCAAAGCCCUCAACUAAGACACUCUUUAUUAUAUGGCUCACGAGCUCGAAUACAUCGGGGGUGACACAAAGCAAAACUCAAGACAAACACUAAGACUUUUAAUCUACUAGAGAAAAGGAAAACUGAAAAGGAACAAACUAAAACAAAGGUAAAGGCAAAAGAUGUGAUGGUGAUAUGAUACCGGGGCAACUCCCCCAAGCUUGGCACAAGCCAAGGGGAUUGCCCAUACCCAUGCUUAGUUGUCUUCCUUUGGAGGUGAUGGUGGUGGAGUUGUUGCGACAUGGGUUUGAUCCUCCGUCUUCCAAGGCAUAGGUGCUCCAUCAUGGAAAGAUGAACGAGUCUCCGGAAUCCUCAAAUUUGCAACCAACUGUGUUGAUUUAAAUCUAUACUCAUACUCACAGUUUUGGUUCUGCAGGUCAUAGAUCUGGGCCUGGAGGUGAUCAAUCCUGUCAUAGAGCCUGGAGAGGUGCUUCCCAAUGUCAUUGGCAUCGAUCUUAUGCUUGCUGGUGAACUCCGUGAUCAUCAUGUGGUUGGCGCUGAGUCCACGCUCCACCAUCCCUUGGCACUUGAAGACCUGUUGCUCCAUUGCUUCGAGCCUCGCCUCAACGCUCCCGGUCUUCUUGGGCCCCUCAACAUCACGGAUGUGCAACAUCCCCUCACGCAUCUCGAUAGAAUGAGAGUGUUGCAGCACUCCCACGAGGUAUGGAUUGAUGACCUUCUCGAAGAUCUUGUCCUUCGGAGCUUUUGGGGACGUCAUAGCGAACUAGAUGUGCAGCAGAAACAAGCUCGAAACGAAAACAGAGGAAAUUUGCGUGAUACGAGGGUUAGACCUUACGGGAGAAUAUAUAAUGAUUUUUUUUCAGACCAGAAGGAGUACUCCGCACAAAAACGGAGUUCGGGAGGCACAAGAGGUGGCCACAAGCUCCCCAGGCGUGACCAGGGGGUGGGCCCGCGCCUGGCAGGCUUGUCGCCUCCUCGCGCGCUUUCCGGACUACUUCCAAUUUUUCUAUUUUUUCAAAAAUUCCAAAACGGAGAAAAAUUCCUACUGGAAAAGUUUUGGAGUCUGUUUUCUUACCGAAUCACAUACCUCUUCAUUUUCGGAGUCUGAAACACGCUGAUAAAUAUCCCUUAGGUAUUCUUCCGGAGUUAUGGUAUUGAUGAUAUUGCUUUCAACAUUUAUGGGAGUACCUCAGAUAUAAUGCUCGAUUCUCUGCCCAUUUACAACUCUCGGACAAUUACCUUCUGUGUUGUUGAUCUUGAUAGCACCGGAACGAUAGACUUCCUCAACAAUAUAGGGACCUUCCCAUUUAUAGAGAAGCUUGCCUGCAAAAAAUCUUAAACGAGAAUUGUAUAGCAAGAUACAUAAUCACCUACAUUGAACUCACGCUUUUGUAUCCUCUUAUCAUGCCACCUCUUAACCUUUUCUUUGAACAACUUGGCAUUCUCAUAUGCCUGAGUUCUCCAUUCAUCAAGCGAGCUAAUAUAAAAUAACCUCUUGUCACCAGCAAGUUUGAAAUCAAAGUUGAGCUGUUUGAUUGCCCAAUAAGCUUUAUGCUCUAGCUCAAGAGAUAACUCACAAGCUUUACCGUACACCAUUUUGUACGGGGACAUGCUCAUGGGAUUCUUAAAGGCAGUUCUAUAAGCCCACAGUGCAUCAUCGAGCUUCUUAGACCAAUUCUUUCUAGACCUGUUGCCAGUCUUUUGCAGAAUUAGUUUAAUCUCUCUAUUGCUUAGCUCUACUUGACCACUGGACUGAGGGUGAUAGGGAGACGCAAUUCUAUAGUUGACAUCGUACUUAGCAAGCGUUUUACGGAAAGCACCAUGAAUGAAAUGUGAACCACCGUCGGUCAUCAGAUAUCUAGGGACUCCAAAUCUAGGGAAAAUAACUUCUUUAAGCAUCCAAAUAGAUGUGUUGUGAUCAACACUACUAGUGGGGAUAGCUUCUACCCACUUAGUAACGUAAUCAACAACAACUAAGAUGUGAGUAUACCCGUUGUUUCUUUGGAAAAGGUCCCAUAUAAUCAAAGCCCCAAACAUCAAAUGGUUGAAUGACAAGUGAAUAGUUCAUUGGCAUUUCCAGACGUUUACCGAUAUUACCUACUCUUUGACAUUCGUCACAAGACAAGGCAAACUUACGGGUAUUCUUGAAGGGAGUGCGCCAAUAGAAACCUGAUUGCAAUACCUUGUUUGCAGUUCUAUCUCCUGCAUGGUGUCCUCCGUAGGCCUCGGAGUGGCACUUCUGUAGGAUCUGUCCCUGUUCAUUGUCAGGUACACAACGUCUNNNNNNNNNNNNNNNNNNNNNNNNNNNNNNNNNNNNNNNNNNNNNNNNNNNNNNNNNNNNNNNNNNNNNNNNNNNNNNNNNNNNNNNNNNNNNNNNNNNNAUCAUAACAACACCUUUCUAACACCACGCACACACACACACACUUGGUUUAUGCGGAAACUUAGGACGUAGUUUAAGCAGCACCACCCAACUGUCCUUGACCGUGGACACGACUAUUCGAAUAGUUUACACUCUGCACAGGUAGUACGCUGGACCCACGAGAAACGGAAUACUUCCGUGUCAUCCGCGACUCGCGGUAUAUCACAUAUACCCGAGGUAAGUACCCGAUCAUCAUCUUUCCCCUCACGAUACUAGACAAAGAGAUCCACUCGAUUGGUACCCAACCCACAUGAUGUACGUCUUACGAGCACCGACUCUGGACUGUAUCAACCAUGCAGGGACCAACGGUGUGCCUGGAACUCAUAAUAAUGGCAUAGUCGUCCUACCUGGCACGACCCCAUCACGAGAGUGACACCGAUCACCCCCGCCACUAGUAAUGUGGCUCUUUGCUAGCAUCGACCAGAGUAAUCAACAAAGCCCCGUCCCAUAAAGGGGUAUCAUGGUCGUACUAGUAAGGUUGGGACGGUCGACACAUCAUAAAUCUAAUCCAUUUCCGAAACCAUACUCACACCAAAAUCACCGGUGCAUCACUUCACCAAAAGUGAUGACCAACUCAUCAUCACCCUCGGGCAUUAGUGGCACCCGACGGGGUUUUCGUAAACUCUUUAUUUAACUCAACAUUAUGCUUGAGAUAAUAUGCCUGAACAUUUCUUGUCAACAAGAUAAUAACAUGAUCCUCACGGGGUAGGGUCAAGUUCAAUGCAGUGAUUCUACUUACUAGUCAACAUGACAGUAGCAUGAUCCUCGUAGAUGGUAGGGUUAGCUCAUCAUGUUUGUGCUCCGAGGAGCCAUGUGAAUAUCACUACUAUAAAUGCAAGUGCUUCGAAGAAGCCUUGGGUACCAUCACAUCAAUGAUGAACCGGCAUCGUGAUCACAUGCAAUGGAAAGUACUUGCUAUUCUAGCAUGCAUCAUUUUAUUUACAUAAGUCAUGGCAAAAGGGAUGCUUGCCUUGGUCAGCUAGGUAUCCAGGGUCUUCGAGGUCUUCUGCUCCGGAUCCUCCGUCACUCGGUAACUCUACCGUCGAGAAAGGAAUAAAUAAAUACUAGCUCUCACUAAAACAGAUCACAAAGUGCUUUUAAAAAUGUUGCAAAGCUUGAAUAAAUUCAGGAUAUUAUUUUGAAAAAUGAUUCCUAUUGUUUUAUUAGCUAAGCAUAUUUAUUUAAAAGCAAACAGAAGCAAACAAGUGCUUUUUAAUAUCAAUUUAUUAUACCAAAAUAGUUUCUGUUCUUGAUAAAUGUCAACUAUUACAGAAUCAAAUACUACUCAUUUUUAGAAAAAUACUGGUGGAAGAAUUAUAUUUUUCUACGAGCUAAAUCUUUUUAUGAAAAUCAUUUAGUUUCUNNNNNNNNNNNNNNNNNNNNNNNNNNNNNNNNNNNNNNNNNNNNNNNNNNNNNNNNNNNNNNNNNNNNNNNNNNNNNNNNNNNNNNNNNNNNNNNNNNNNNNNNNNNNNNNNNNNNNNNNNNNNNNNNNNNNNNNNNNNNNNNNNNNNNNNNNNNNNNNNNNNNNNNNNNNNNNNNNNNNNNNNNNNNNNNNNNNNNNNNNNNNCACCAGGCGCGCGCGGGCCAGGUUCAAACCUGACCCGCGGGCCCCUUGGGUCAGCGUCAGCAGCUGCGCGCACUGGCUGCCCCAGGACACCGAUAGGUGGGCUCCACCUGUCAGGUCCUUCUCCUACCUCCAGCCAGAGAGGUGGAGAUGGACGCCGGCGAGGCUGCCGUUGUCCUCAGGCCUAGCUAGGAACGGGAACGGGUUCCUCGUGCCUCCGCCUACCUGCUCGUGGUCGGGACGUCACCGGAGGUGGUCUGGUCGCCGGCGACGAGGUGCUCGUGGCGGAAGGGUUUCGGGUUUGUGUUGAACUAGGGGAUAGGGGUAGGGAUUUGCUCGGGAGAGUUAGGGGAAACGUUCCUGGUGUCGAGGGGAGUGUAAUGAGAGGUCGGGCAGCGCAGGAGCCGACGUGUAGCCGGAGAUCGACCGGAGCUCCGAGGCGGAGGGGCCUCGGUCGAUCUCGAGCACCGGGGCUCUGUGAGGUCGAUUGGGCGGCUAGGAAGUGUCUACUGGUUGUGCGGAAGCUUCUUGGAGGGUGCUGGAGUGCCGGGGGACUUAUUUAUAGGCCAACGACGGUGACCCGACUCGGGCGCGCCGGUGACUCACCGUGGCACGCGUGCAAGCACAGUGAGGUGCUGGCCGCGAAACCACGGGUUCGGGAUGUGAUUUAGGGCCUCCUGGUGCAACGGCCGCAGAGGGAAAGCGAGUGGGGACGAGCUGCAGCGACCGUGCAUGCUCGGCCGCGUCGGGCGCGCACGGGCACGCGUCGCCUGAGCUCUUGCGCGAGGGGGAGAGGGUCCAUGGGGUAGCUUUGCACUGAACGGUUGUGGGGGGAGCGCUUGGACAUAACUGGGGAGGCUGGGACCGGCCGGAGCGUCGGCCCCUUGCGGGUGGCUCUCUGCAGCGCGCCUAGAGCGCAGUUUUGGCAUGCCACGGCAUGCUGGCUCGCUCUGGGGCACUUGGGAUGUGUCCUCCAUGUCCUGAGUGUUGCUGGGAGUGUGCCUAGCCGUUGUGGUUUAGUGGGUGGUCGAGCUGGUCAAGGNNNNNNNNNNNNNNNNNNNNNNNNNNNNNNNNNNNNNNNNNNNNNNNNNNNNNNNNNNNNNNNNNNNNNNNNNNNNNNNNNNNNNNNNNNNNNNNNNNNNAUCAUAACAACACCUUUUUAACACCACACACACACACACACACACACUUGGUUUAUGCGGAAACUCAGGACGUAGUUUAAGCAGCACCACCCAACUGUCCUUGACCGUGGACACGGCUAUUCGAAUAGUUUACACCGUGCAGAGGUUGUACGCUGGACCCACGAGAAACGGAAUACUUCCGUGUCAUCCACGACUCGCGGUAUAUCACAUAUACCCGAGGUAAGUACCCGGUCAUCAUCUUUCCCCUCACGAUACUAGACAAAGAGAUCCACUCGAUUGGUACCCAGCCCACAUGUUGUACGUCUUAAGAGCACCAACUCUGGACUGUAUCAACCAUGCAGGGACCAACGGUGUGCCUGGAACUCAUAAUAAUGGCAUAGUCGUCCUACCUGGCACGACCCCACCACGAGAGUGACACCGAUCACCCCCGCCACUAGUAAUGUGGCUCUUUGCUAGCACCGGCCAGAGUAAUCAACAAAGCCCCGUCCCAUAAAGGGGUAUCGUGGUCGUACUAGUAAGGUUGGGACGGUCGACACAUCAUAAAUCUAAUCCAUUUCCGAAACCAUACUCACACCAAAAUCACCGGUGCAUCACUUCACCAAAAGUGAUCACCAACUCAUCAUCACCCUCGGGCAUUAGUGGUACCCGACGGGGUUUUCAUAAACUCUUUAUUUAACUCAACAUUAUGCUUGAGAUAAUAUGGCUUAACAUUACUUGUCAACAUGAUAAUAACAUGACCCUCACGGGGUAGGGUCAAGUUCAAUGCAAUGAUUCUACUUACUAGUCAACAUGACAGUAGCAUGAUCCUCGUAGAUGGUAGGGUCAGCUCAUCAUGUUUGUGCUUCGAGGAGCCAUGUGAAUAUCACUACUAUAAAUGCAAGUGCUUCGAAGAAGCCUUCGGUACCAGCACAUCAAUGAUGAACCGGCAUCGUGAUCACAUGCAACGGAAAGUACUUGCUAUUCUAGCGUGCAUCAUUUUAUUUACUUAAGUCAUGGCAAAAGGGCAUGCUUGCCUGGGUCAGCUAGGUAUCCGGGGUCUUCGAGGUCUUCCGCUCCGGAUCCUCCGUCACUCGGUAACUCUACCGUCGAGAAAGGAAUAAAUAAAUACUAGCUCUCACUAAAACAUAUCACAAAGUGCUUUAAAAAAUGUUGCAAAGCUUGAAUAAAUUUAGGAUAUUAUUUUGAAAAAUGAUUCCUAUUGUUUUAUUAGCUAAGCAUAUUUAUUUAAAAGCAAACAGAAGCAAACAAGUGCUUUUUAAUAUCAUUUUAUUAUACCAAAAUAGUUUCUGUUCUUGAUAAAUGUCAACUAUUACAGAAUCAAAUACUACUCAUUUUUAGAAAUAUACUGGUGGAAGAGUUAUAUUUUUCUACUGGCUAAAUCUUUUUAUAAAAAUCAUUUAGUUUCUNNNNNNNNNNNNNNNNNNNNNNNNNNNNNNNNNNNNNNNNNNNNNNNNNNNNNNNNNNNNNNNNNNNNNNNNNNNNNNNNNNNNNNNNNNNNNNNNNNNNNNNNNNNNNNNNNNNNNNNNNNNNNNNNNNNNNNNNNNNNNNNNCACCAGGCGCGCGCGGGACAGGUUCAAACCUGACCUGCGGGCCCCUGGGGUCAGCGUCAGCGGCUGCGCGCGCUGGCUGCCCCAGGACACCGACAGGUGGGCUCCACCUGUCGGGUCCUUCUCCUACCUCCAGCCAGAGAGGUGGAGAUGGACACCGGCGAGGCUGCGUUGUCCUCAGGCCUAGCUAGGAACGGGAACGGGUUCCUCGUGCCUCCGCCUACCUGCUCGUGGUCGGGACAUCACCGGAGGUGGUCUGGGUCGCCGGCGACGAGGUGCUUGUGGCGGAAGGGUUUCGGGUUUGUGUUGAACUAGGGGCUUGGGGUAGGGAUUUGCUCGGGAGAGUUAGGGGAAAUGUUCCUGGUGUCGAGGGGAGUGUAAUGAGAGGUCGGGCAGCGCAGGAGCCGACGUGUAGCCGGAGAUCGACCGGAGCUCCGAGGUGGAGGGGCCUUGGUCGAUCUCGAGCACCGGGGCUCUGCGAGUUCGAUUGGGCGGCUAGGGAGUGUCUACUGGUUGUGUUGAAGCUGCUUGGAGGGUGCUGGAGUGCCAGGGGGACCUAUUAAUAGGCCAACGACAGUGACCCGACUCGGGCGCGCUAAUGACUCACCGUGGCAUGCAUGCAAGCACAGUGAGGUGCUGGCCGCGAAACCACGGGUUCGAGACGUGGUUUAGGGCCUCCUGGUGCAACGGUCGCAGAGGGAAAGCGAGUGGGGACAAGCUACAACGACCGUGCAUUCUCGGCCGCAUCGGGCGCGCACGGGCACGCGUCACCUGAGCUCUUGCGCGAGGGGGAGAGGGUCCCUGGGGUAGCUUUGCACUGAACGGUUGUCGGGGGAGCGCUUGGACAUAACUGGGAAGGCUGGUCCCGGCCGGAGCGUCAGCCCCUUGCGGGUGGCUCUCUGCAGCGCGCCCAGAGCGUAGUUUUGGCAUGCCACGGCGUGCUGGUUCACUCUGGGGCAGUUGGAUGUGUCCUCCAUGUCCUGAGUGUUGCUGGGAGUGUGCCUAGCCGUUGGGGUUUAGUGGGAGGUCGAGCUGGUCAAGGNNNNNNNNNNNNNNNNNNNNNNNNNNNNNNNNNNNNNNNNNNNNNNNNNNNNNNNNNNNNNNNNNNNNNNNNNNNNNNNNNNNNNNNNNNNNNNNNNNNNGAAUUCGUUCGGGCCAGUCGUUGAACUGAUGCACUUGUACGUAUUGACUUUUUAAGAUAUUUGACACUCGAGGUUUCAGUCCCGCCGGCGACCAGGGAACUUGGCUGAAGCAACAUUGACGCAACAAAGUAUGAACGCACAUUUUGACGUAUUAUUACUCUUCAAGACAAACAGACAGAAUGAUACUUUCUUCAUCCCAAAAUAACUGUCUCAAGCUUAGUACAACUUUGUACUGAAGCUAGUAUAAAGUUAAAAUAUUUAUUUUAAAGUAAAAGAAGUAUAUUUCUUUGUAGCGCCUUGCAACCGAGUUGCGUGGAAGUAUGUGAAAUGAAGCAUAAGAUGUACCUGUCAUGUGUAAUGUGCUGCAAAACAUGCAAUAGAGCAAGUAUAAGAGCAAGUACAAUAGCGUACUUAUAGCGGACAUGGAGUAUGUGAUCCCGAGUUGUAGUGAUCUCGAAUAAACAGUAUUACCUAAAAAGUAAUAAAUAAUUUUAAAAAUUCUGAUUAUUUUAACAGAAAACAUUGAUAUUUUUUCUAUAUGCAUGCAAAUUUUCAUGAUGAAAUGACACUUGUGAUGGUGUGGGCAAAAAAACAAAACUGAUGUUCUAAAAAAGUGUUUUUGAAAGCACUUCGAAACAUUAUUUUUGUUUUUUUGCCCAGCCCUCCACAAAUGUCAUGUCAUAAUGAAAAUUUGCAUUCAUGUAGAGAAAACAUUUUCUUGAAUUUUUUUUCAAAUGUUUUGAACUAUUUGACUUUUUUUGGAUUUUAUUGUUCAUCCAAGUUCACUCGAGCUCGGAUCACAUGAGUACUUUUGACUUAUAGCCCUCUUAGAGCAUGUACAGCCAGACCUUGUAAAUCCGGCAUCUCAAACUCCCGCGGACGCGCCCAGGCGCAUCCGCGGACACUCGCAGGUCACGUCUCAAAUAAUUGAUUCUACAACCGGACAUUUCAUAUUAGGAUCUUCAAAUCCAUACAAAAGCAUGCAAGAUAUGAAACCUACAUACUACAUAGAACCUAUCUGCUCCUUGUCGAAGAUGUCGACGAUCUCCCUACCCUCCGGUGGAUAAAUGGCCGCCUUGCCUCGUCUCCGCCCCCUCCGGUGCUUCUGGCUGCUAGGCUGCGGCCUCCUCCGCCUUGUUCUCCGCCUCCAUCUCGUCGAAGAGGGCGUCGGCCUCCGCCUGCCUAUGCCGGAUGAGCCGGCAGUUGGCCUCCACCUUGGCCUCAUCCCAGACGGAAUCCAGGAUGGCAUGCUACUCGCCAUAUCCUAUGAUUGGGCGACGGUGGACUCCAUCUCCGCCUCCGCCAUGCUCAAGCCGGGAGCCUCCUUCUGUGGGUCGUCCUCCUGCAUGGCCUCCAGCUACUCCUCCUCCUGAUGCUAUUGCUCCUCCUCCUCUUCGUCUUCCUCCUCCUCCUUCUCUGUAUCCGGCGAGUCCGGAGGAAGACCUGCCGCGAUGCGGGCGGCAUGACAAGCCUGGAUCUCCACCUCGAUUUGUAGGCGCCGCUCCAGAGUGAGCUGCGCAUAAGUGGUGAUGAGCCGCCGGACCAUCGUGACGCAGAGGGAACUGCAAGAGGAGGCGAAUCGGCUCGGGUGGCGGUAAAGAGAAGGAGGAGGCCGAUGAUCUAGGGCUAGGGGCGUCGGUCGACUUAAAUAGUCGGCCUCGACCUCGGGCGUGAAGCGAGAGCGGCAUGAUACAUCCAUUUUGCAUCAUGCUUUCGUGUUGAUAUUUAUUGCUUUUUGGGCCGUUAUUUCACUUCACGGUACAAUACUUAUGCCUUUUCUCUCUUAUUUUACAAGGUUUACAUGAAGAGGGAGAAUACCGGCAGCUGGAAUUCUCGCCUGAAAAAGGAGCAAGUUUGAGAUGCCUAUUCUGCGCAACUCCAAAAGCCGUCAAAAUCAACGUGGAUUUUUUUGGGAAUAUAUAAAAAAUACUGGGCCGAAGAAGUGCCAGACGAGCGCAAACAGGGGGCCACAAGCCUGGUAGGCGCGGCCACCCCCUGGCCGCGCCUAGGGGGCUUGUGGGCUCCCUCCUGGCCCACUGCCCCCCCUCUUUUGCUAUAUGAAGGGUUUCGUUUCGAAAAAAAUCAAGAGGAGGCUUUUUCGAGGAUUCGCCGCAGCCACGAGGCGAAACUUGAGCAGAACCAAUCUAGAGCUCUGACAGGACGAUCCUGCCGGGGAAACUUCCCUCCCGGAGGGGGAAAUCGUCGCCAUCGUCAUCACCAACACUCCUNNNNNNNNNNNNNNNNNNNNNNNNNNNNNNNNNNNNNNNNNNNNNNNNNNNNNNNNNNNNNNNNNNNNNNNNNNNNNNNNNNNNNNNNNNNNNNNNNNNNAUCAUCUCACCACACAAUCACUUGUUACCGAUAAUUUCAGUGCGUGCAGAUAUUACCUUGCUGAAAACCACUUGUCAGAUCCUUCUGCUCCUCGUUGGGUUCGACACUCUUACUUAUCAAAAGGACUACGAUAGAUCCCCUAUACUUGUGGGUCAUCAAAGAUCCCUNNNNNNNNNNNNNNNNNNNNNNNNNNNNNNUCGUUCAUGAGUUUCCCAGCGAGUCCGCGUGGGGCCAAGUUGUCAGGCCGACAUGGCGGAUGUGCCCCGGCUCCCUCAUAUAUAUCCGCUGCAUAUUUGGGCUGGAAAUGGAUGGUGCGGUUCAGNNNNNNNNNNNNNNNNNNNNNNNNNNNNNNNNNNNNNNNNNNNNNNNNNNNNNNNNNNNNNNNNNNNNNNNNNNNNNNNNNNNNNNNNNNNNNNNNNNNNNNNNNNNNNNNNNNNNNNNNNNNNNNNNNGGUUCAGCGAGGGCGUUUGAGGGGUCCGGUUGUAGAUGCUCUUAAAUGACAUUUUGACUAUGUGGAGGAGAGAGAUGUAAAAAAGUAAAGGGAAUGGGCUCUUAGACUACUCAUAGUGGGGAGUAACUUCGACUAGAAACAUGCAUAUGUUACUAGUAUAUGUUACUACCUCCGUAGUGGGGAGUAACAUAUGUGUGGUCUCAUGCAACACUUUAUUUAUUAGCUUAUAGACUUAUCUUGUCUUGGUAUGUGUGAUGUUACUCAUAGUAUCAGUAACUAGCUAUGUUACUCAAUUCAUCUUCCUCCUCAUUAAAUCAUUGCCACAUAAGAAAAUUCACUGAGUUGGAACUUAUGUUAUUGCUAAAGUUAUUCUCACUAUGGGUAGUCUUAUGCAAGAAUCUAGCUAUAUAUGCAUUCCUAGGAAAAUACAAUUAAUGUAAAGAAAGAGAUAGAGAGAAGAUGGAAAAAAGUACUAAUGUAAUAGUCAACCUUAUAGCUCACAUUGUUGUAUCACUGCAUAUAGAUGAUGACUAUAAAUGACAUGACAAGUUCAUAUAGCCAUCAGCUUGCUAUAUUAUUAACCAUGCUCUAAUAAGGUGAUGUAAAUGAACCAAGUGUUCCUCGUCAUAUUUAUGGAUCCAAUAAAUUUUGUGUCGAGUAAAUAGGUAUUUUUUCGAUUAAAUUAAUUACCAUGGAAUUAACAGAAACAAAGACAUGCUAAUAUUUGAUCAUACAAGCACAUACUAAGCUAACAAUAUAUAUANNNNNNNNNNNNNNNNNNNNNNNNNNNNNNNNNNNNNNNNNNNNNNNNNNNNNNNNNNNNNNNNNNNNNNNNNNNNNNNNNNNNNNNNNNNNNNNNNNNNUUUUCUGUGUUGCAAAAAUCAGAGCUUGUUAAAACUUUUUCAAAUAAUGUUGUGAGUGCAAUAUCAGCCCUUGUUUGAGUGUAUGCUUGCUUGUUUGAUGACUCCAACCCAUGAAAAACUUAUUAUUUUGCUCUCUUCAAAAACCCUUUUUCCUUUAUUUCAAUAUCACCUUCAUCAUGUUGGCAUACACUAUUAGCUCAUGAAGCCAAGUGGCACUUCCAACCAAAGUUGGUGAUCUGAUCCAAAUAUUAUUUUCAUUCAUUAAAAACAUUAAUUGGUGAUUUAAAAUAUUAUUUUCCUAUUUUAUAUCUAUGUCUAUUUCUAAGGCCAGUAAUGAUAUUUCCACAAGGAAAAUUACUUUCCUGCCUUAGAAAAUUCUGAGUAAAUUCAUGGAAGCUCAGAAGGACAUAUAUUUUCCAUAUGUAAGAUUUUCAACCCUAUUUUAUAUUAAUAUUAUUUGAGUAUAACCCUGAAAACCAUUUCUGUCUGUUUUAGCUUUUUGAGAUGUUUCCAAAGGAAAUUAUCUCAGUAAAUUCCCCUAAAAUUGCAGGAGCCCUCCCAAACCAUAUUAGGUGCUCACCUAAAAUCUCACCUUGAUCCAAGGUGGGGAAGUGCACUUAAAGAGCCCAAAACCCUCUCUGUCCAGAGUAGAGUUCCAACUCUACAUUGCAAAGUUUCUCCAAUGUAGCUGAAACUUUGCAGAGGUGUUUAACACCCCAAAUGAGAACUCCACACCAAAGAUGGGAUUUGUGAGACUCUGUUUGGCCACACUUCCUUUGUAAAGGACAGUACUGGUCAUUUUGAGACAUUUUCAAGUUUGCAAAGCCAAACUUGUUCAAUGGAGCUCAGAUUUGGUGGAACCCCAUAUUUUUACCCCAAGACCAAACCUGUUAAGUUUCAUUUACAGUGGUGGAGUGGAAGCACCCCAAGUCACUGUCGAACACCUACUGACAGGAAGGUAAAAACCUUCCUAGCCACUGUUUUACCCAAUGUCAAGGCCCCAAACUUGGUGGGUUAGAGCACCAGAGCACCCUGAACACCCAGACAACCAGCCCCUCCCCAACUCCAAGCACAAGUGACAAGAACUCCAAUUUGAGCUGCAGGGCAGUACUGGCAACACUAGUGUUCCUUGCUCCCUUGACCAGCUCGACCNNNNNNNNNNNNNNNNNNNNNNNNNNNNNNNNNNNNNNNNNNNNNNNNNNNNNNNNNNNNNNNNNNNNNNNNNNNNNNNNNNNNNNNNNNNNNNNNNNNNCCUAUCUUUCUCUGUGUCCAGCUGAAACUUUGAUCUCAUGAGUACCACGUGAGCUGUAGCAAUUGUAGAGAACGAAAGAAUGAUUGAGUAUGUGGAUUUGCUUUACAAGCUCUUAUUUGACUCUUCCUGAUGUUGUGAUAAAUUGCAAUUGGUUCAAUGACUAAAGGCUAUCGGUUGUUACUUCUCGGUAAGGUUCUUGAUCCAUGCUUUACUUUGUGAAGGAAUUAUUACUUUAGCAUGAGAGAUUAUAUGUUGGUAUUGUUGUUAUCAUCGUGAUCAUGAUGCAUGCAUGUUUGUAUCUUGUUUUGUCGACACCUCUCUCCCUAAACAUGUGGACAUAUUUAUUGAGCUAGGCUUUCGCUUGAGGACAAGCGAGGUCUAAGCUUGGGGGAGUUGGUACGUCCAUUUUGCAUCAUGUUUUCAUGUUAUUAUUUAUCGCUUCUUUGGCUGUUAUUUCACUUCACAGUACAAUUUUUAUGCCUUUUCUCUUUUAUUUUGCAAGGUUUAAAUGAAGAGGGAAAAUACCGGCAACUGGAAUUCUGGCCUGAAAGUGGAGCAAAGUUGAGAUACCUAUUCUGCGCAACUCCAAACGCCGUAAAAAUCAACGGGGAUUUUUUCCCGAUUUAUGAAAAAUACUAGGCCGAAGAAGUGCGAGAGGGGCACCAGGGGGUUCCCACAAGCCUGCACGGAGCGGCCACCCCCCAGGCCGCGCCAUGGGGGCUUGUGGGCAGCCCACUGGCCCAUUGGCCCCCCCUCUUUUUCUAUAUGGAGGGUUUCGUCCAGGAAAAAUCAGGGUGGAGCUUUUUCAUGGUUUCGCCGCCGCCACGAUGCGGAACUUGAGCAGAACCAAUCUAGAGCUCCGGCAGGACGAUCCUGCGGGGAAAUUUCCCUCCCGGAGGGGGAAAUUGUCGCCAUCGUCAUCACCAACACUCCUCUUAUUGAAGGGGACUCAUCAACAUCAACAUCUUCAUCANNNNNNNNNNNNNNNNNNNNNNNNNNNNNNNNNNNNNNNNNNNNNNNNNNNNNNNNNNNNNNNNNNNNNNNNNNNNNNNNNNNNNNNNNNNNNNNNNNNNCCUAUCUUUCUCUGUGUUCAGCUGAAACUUUGAUCUCAUGAGUACCACGUGAGUUGUAGCAAUUGUAGAGAACGAAAAAAAGAUUGAGUAUGUGGAUUUGCUUUACAAGCUCUUAUUUGACUCUUUCCGAUGUUGUGAUAAAUUGCAAUUGCUUCAAUGACUAAAGUCUAUCGGUUGAUAAUUCUCGGUAAGGUACUUGAUCCAUACUUUACUUUGUGAAGGAAUUGUCACUCUAGCAUGAGAGAUUAUAUGUUGGUAUUGUUGUUCUGAUCAUGAUCAUGAUGCAUGUAUGUUCGUAUCUUGUUUUGUCGACACCUCUCUCCCUAAACAUGUGGGCAUAUGUAUUGAGCUCGGCUUUCGCUUGAGGACAAGCGAGGUCUAAGCUUGGGGGAGUUGAUACGUCCAUUUUGCAUCAUGCUUUCAUGUUGAUAUUUAUUGCUUUUUGGGCUGUUAUUUCACUUCUCGGUACAAUACUUAUGCCUUUUCUCUCUUAUUUUGCAAGGUUUACAUGAAGAGGGAGAAUGCCGGCAGCUGGAAUUCUGGCCUGAAAAAGGAGCAAGUUUGAGAUGCCUAUUCUGCGCAACUCCAAAAGCCGUGAAAAUCAAUGUGGAUUUUUUUGGGAAUAUAUAAAAAAUACUGGGCCGAAGAAGUGCUAGAGGGGCGUCAGCAGGUGGCCACAAGCCUGCUAGGCGAGGCCACCCCCUGGUCGCGCCAAGGGGGCUUGUGGGCUCCCUCCUGGCCCACUCGCCCCCCUCUUCUGCUAUAUGAAAGGUUUCGUUCCAAAAAAAAUCAGGAGGAGGUUUUUCGUAGGAUUCGCCGCCGCCAUGAGGCAGAACUUGAGCAGAACCAAUCUAGAGCUCCUAGAAGACGAUCCUGCCGGGGAAACUUCCCUCCCGGAGGGGGAAAUCGUCGCCAUCCUCAUCACCAACACUCCUNNNNNNNNNNNNNNNNNNNNNNNNNNNNNNNNNNNNNNNNNNNNNNNNNNNNNNNNNNNNNNNNNNNNNNNNNNNNNNNNNNNNNNNNNNNNNNNNNNNNGGGCGAAUUCAAGUGCUAAAUUUAUUUCAAUCAAUAUGCAUAGAUGCUUAACUACAAUGUAAAACAUUCCCAAUUAGGAAAAUUGGGAUGUUACAAACCUACCCACCUUAAAAUGAAUCUCGCCCUCGAGAUUCGGGUUCGUUAGAAAAUAGGUGCGGGUGGUCUCGAGGAAGAUCCUCUUCUCGUUCCCAGGUGGCUUCUUCCUCGGUGUGGUGGCUCCACAACACCUUGCAGAACUUGAUGAUCUUGCUGCGGGUAACUCUGUUGGCAGUCUCGAGAAUCCUGACGGGUUUCUCCUCAUACGUCAGAUCACUGUCAAGUUGUAUGGCCUCUAGGGGCAUUGUAUCUCUCAACGGAACAUCGGCCAUAUCAGCGUGGCAUUUCUUCAACUCGGAAACAUGGAAGACAUCAUGAACUCCGGACAAUCCUUCCGGCAGUUCCAGUUUAUAUGCAACUUCGCCUCUACGUUCAAGAAUUUUGUAGGGGCCAAUGAAACGAGGUGCUAAUUUUCCUUUCACACCGAAUCUCUUGAUUCCUCGAAGUGGAGACACCCGAAGAUAUGCUCGGUCUCCCACUUCGUACGUUACUUCCUUGCGUUUGCUGUAAGCAUAACUCUUCUGCCUGGACUGAGCUAUCUUGAGUCGGUCACGAAUUAGCUUGACCUUCUCUUCAGAAUCUCGGAUAAGGUUGAGACCAAAAAGUUGUCGGUCUCCAACUCCAUCCCACAUCAACGGUGUUCUGCACCUCCUUCCGUAUAGAGCUUCGAAAGGGGCCAUCUUCAGACUGGUCUGGUAGCUGUUGUUGUAUGAGAACUCGGCAUAAGGCAAAUUGUCAUCCCAACUAGACCCAUAGUCUAGUGCGCAAGCUCUCAACAUGUCCUCCAGAAUCUGAUUGACUCUCUCGGUCUGUCCAUCUGUCUGCGGGUGAAAAGCUGUACUGAACUCCAAUCUCGUUCCCAAGGUUUCAUGCAGUUGGUGCCAAAAUUUGGAUGUGAACUGAGUUCCUCUAUCUGACACAAUGCUCUUCGGUACUCCGUGCAGACAUACGAUCCUCGUCAUAUAUAUCUUGGCCAGUUUGGCACUCGUGUAAGUAGUCUUCACAGGGAUGAAGUGAGCUACCUUGGUCAAACGAUCGACCACAACCCAAAUAGAAUCAUAGCCAGAACGGGUCCUGGGUAAUCCUGUGAUGAAGUCCAUACCAAGCUUUUCCCAUUUCCACUCGGGUAUCGGCAGAGGUGGGAGAAAACCUGCUAGCUUCUGAUGCUCGGCUUUUACUCGCUGACAAACAUCGCAUAUUGCUACAAACUCGGCAAUGUCUUUCUUCAUUCCUGUCCACCAGAAACUUUCUUUCAGAUCCAGAUACAUCUUGGUGUUGCCGAGGUGUAUCGAGUACGGGGAAUCAUGAGCCUCCUGAAGUAUCAACUUUGUGAGUUCGGGAUCAUUGGGCACAUAGAUGCGAUCCUCAAACCAUAAAGUUCCGUGUUCAUCCUCAUGAAAACCUUUAGCCUUCCCGUCUUCCAUUUUCUGCUUAAUCUCAGCUAUCUCCUUGUCUGAUUUCUGUGCUUCGCGGAUCUUUUCGGUCAAGGUGGAUUGAAUUUCUAGUGUGGCAACAAAACCUCUUGGAACUAUUUCCAAUUUGAGCUCUCGGAGGUCAUCGACUAACUCCUGGGGUAAUCCUCCAGCUGUGAGUGUGUUCACAUAACUCUUGCAGCUUAACGCAUCGGCUACAACAUUUGCCUUGCCUGGGUGAUAAUGCAAUCUCACGUCAUAGUCCUUGAUCAACUCUAGCCAUCGUCUCUAUCUGAGGUUCAACUCCUUCUGCGUGAAGAUAUAUUUCAGGCUCUUGUGAUCAGUGUAAACAUCACAACUAUUUCCGAUCAGGAAAUGUCUCCAGGUCUUGAGAGCGUGCACUACGGCUGCUAGUUCCAAGUCAUGUGUGGCAUAAUUCAACUCAUGAGGUCUGAGCUGUCUGGAUGCAUAGGCUACAACUUUGCCUUCUUGCAUGAGCACUCCUCCGAGUCCUUGACGAGAAGCAUCACAGUAAACCUGGAAAUCCUUCCGAAUGUUCGGCAAUAUCAGCACUGGGGCUGUAACAAGACGUUUCUUCAACUCUUGAAAACUGGUUUCACAUUCCUCAGUCCAAACAUACUUGGAUUCCUUCUUCAACAACUCUGUCAUGGGCUUGGCAAUCUUUGAGAAAUUCUCAAUGAACCUCCGGUAAUAUCCGGCAAGUCCGAGGAAACUGCGGAUCUCCUUGACUAAAGUGGGUGCUACCCAUUCGGUGACUGCUGCGACCUUGGCAGGGUCCACUGCUAUUCCUUCUCCUGAGAUGACGUGUCUGAGGAAUCUGACUUCCUUCAACCAAAACUCACAUUUGCUGAACUUUGCAUAUAGCUUAUGCUCUCGAAGUUUCUCCAGAACUAGACGCAGAUGUUCCUUGUGUUCCUCUUCGUUCUUGGAGAAUAUCAGUAUGUCAUUGAUGAACACCACGACAAACUUGUCCAAGUAUUCCAUAAAUACCUUGUUCAUCAGAUUCAUAAAAUAUGCCAGAGCAUUAGUCAGUCCAAAUGACAUGACCGUGUACUCAUACAAGCCGUACCGAGUGGUGAAGGCUGUCUUGGGUAUAUCCUAUUCACGAAUCUUCAACUGAUGAUACCCGGAUCGAAGAUCGAUCUUGGAGAAUACGCGAGCUCCAACUAACUGAUCAAACAGAUCAUUGAUCAUCGGCAAGGGGUACUUGUUCUUGAUGGUCACAUCGUUCAAUGCACGAUAAUCGACAACCAUUCUCAAGGACUUGUCCUUCUUUUCAACCAAGAGCACUGGGGCUCCCCAAGGUGAAGAACUUGGGCGAAUAUACCCUUUGUCCAACAACUCCUUAAUUUGCUUCUUGAUUUCUACCAAGUCAUUUGCGGGCAUCCGAUAGGGUCUCUUGGAUAUCGGGGCUGUUCCGGGUAAUAGCUCAAUCAGGAACUCAAUCUCUCUAUCGGGUGGCAUGCCCGGCAAUUCCUCCGGAAAUACAUCUGGGUACUCCUGUACAAUCGGUACUUCCUCCUGGACUACUGCCGUGAGAGAUUUUACUCGCUUACUCCGUGUCGGGCGCUGAGACACGUACUUAAUCCGCUUCUGCUCGGGGGUGGUGAGCAAAAUAGACUUAAGGGCACAAUCAAUAUUCCCUUCAUACUUGGCCAUCCAAUCCAUGCCUAGGAUUACAUCCAAUCCCUGGGACUCUAAUACGAUGAGGUCGGUGGGAAAGUUAUGGUUCCCGAUGUUGAGACUCAAGGCAUGGCAUCCUAUCCCGGCUGUCAUCAUGCCUCCUGGGGAACUGACCUUAAUAGGCUGGCUAAGGGUUCUAGUUGGCAAACUAUACUUUUCCACAACUACCCUUGAUAUGAAUGAAUGUGUUGCACCAGAAUCAAAAAGUACCAAUACUGGACGUGAAUUUAGCAAAAACUUACCAACCACAGUAUCGGGGUGAUCAUAGACCUCUUCAACAUCAAUGCGAUUCACCUGAGCUCGAGGAAAAGUAUUGGGCUUCUUUGCUGCAGAGUUGCCGUUGCCGUUUCCAUUACCCUGCUUGUUCUGGGGACAUUCAGUGGCAUAGUGUCCCGUCUUCUGACACUUGAAGCAGGUGAUGUGAUUCAGAUCCUUCUGAGCUGGAGCUGAAUGUUGUUGAGUGCCAGUACCGCCAUUCUUGAAGUUGCUGUUGUUGCGGUGGUUCCCAUUUCCUCCAUGGUUGUGGCCUCCAUGGUUGUGCACUGGGUGGUUAUGCUGGACGUGUCCUCCAAACUUACCGGAUCCAGUCCCGGUAUUCCCUGAAUAGGGGGUGUAGCGAGGCUUCUGCUGAGUGCCGGAGUUGAACUUUCCAAUCCCAUACUUUCGCUUGCGGUUCUCCAUCUGCUGGUGUCUCCCCUCCAAGAUGAGGGCCUUAUCAACCAGCUCCUGGUAGUUGUUGAAGGUGGCUACAGUCAACUAAAUGCUCAGCUCAUCAUUGAGUCCCUCCAAGAACUUUUCCUGCUUGGCUGCAUCAUCGGCCACAUCUCCAGGUGCAUAACGGGCGAGCAUGCUGAAUUCAUCGACAUACUGGGCCACAGAGCGAUUCCCCUGGUGUAAGUUGCGAAACUCACGCUUCUUCAGACUCAUUGCACCAGCUGAAACAUGUGCGGUACGGAAGGCUUGCUUGAAUUGCUCCCAAGUGACUCCAGCAAUGGGGUAAGUGGUGGUGUAGUUCUCCCACCAAGCAACUGCAGGGCCUUCAAGUUGAUGCGCGGCAAAACGCACCUUCUCAGCUUCAGUACAACCAGCAGUGAUAAGUUCACGCUCCAUCUUGCGGAGCCAAUCAUCUGCCACAAUGGGCUCAAUGCUGCUGGAGAAAGUUGGAGGGUUCAACCUCAGGAAACGGGUGAGAUUGUCGGCCUGGGGUGGAUGACGGUUGUUGUUAUUGUUCUGGUUCUGGAUGAUCAGCUGCAUCAGGGUGUUCUGUUGUUGGAUCAACUGGGUGAGUUCCGGCGGAAAGUUGGACUCAGGGGCGCGUCUCGGAGGCAUCUGAUGUUUGGGGAGGGGUGAGAUUAGCAUAGAACAAUGGUCUAAGAGUAAUUACACUACCCAUAUGAAAUGCAACAAACAAGUAUCACACCACACAUUUUAUUCAAUACCAUCACAAGGUUCACACGAGGAUACAAAAUUCGAUAAUCCUAAACAUCGGCCUAAGCGUAUAACGAUAAAGUAAAUUUCGUGGUUUAGUCUAAGUGUCCUCCUCAGAAAAGCAUGGUGGUGGGUCCUUCGGUGGAGCUUUCUUCAUAGUCCUCGUCGUUGCUGAUCAAGGGGGCUACGUCACCUUCGGGAUGAAAGUUCUCGCCCAUGUCUAGUUCCUCCUCCAGGUAUGCAACUCGAGUCUUCAGCUUCUCGAUCCGCUCCAGAAAGUCCUUCACCUCCAGUUCGUGUUCAUAGUGGGCUUCCCGGGCUGCUUCUUCGAGUUCAAGCUCGCGGAGUGACAGUUGCUUGAUCUUCCUGGCGUCCUUGAUCACACGAUGCUCCAGAGUCCCGCUGUGCUUCUCCAAGGUCUGGGCAUAAGACAAGAGAGCGUCCUUGGUCUUGCUUGAGAUGAUUUCUCCGUCUUCGUUUCUCCGGGAUACGGUGAAUAGGUCUGGAGAAAUAGGGCAGCCUUUGUAUUCUUCCUUGAUACGUCCGAGGGCACAAUGGAUCGCCAUGUCCCUUCCGAGAAUCCAGUUGGGUGCGAUGAACUUGAAAUCCACCGGCUCAGUGCGCGGCUCGAAUGUCCUUCCGGGAAUGUGCACCUCGAUCCUGUAGCGUGAAUCCUCCGGGUAAGACGAAGUUGGCUUCCCUGUGAUAGUCGGCAGAGCAAUCCUCAAGUCCUUGGUGAUCUGCACCAGCUCCUUUCCGAACGGCAUAGUGGCGUCGGGCUGGCAAAACUCCGUGAACUUAACAGGGAUGAAGGUGGCCAUCUAAAACAUUGGAAAAUCGGAGAGAAGUCAGAAAUGAUCAGAAGAAGAAAUAGAAGAUUUAUAGACAUAAGAGAAAAUAGUUUUCUUCCUAAGGCUUUUCCAUUCCUAGAGGUUACGUCCUAUGGUAAGCGUGUGCUCUGAUACCAUUUCUGUAGCGACCGACUCAAGACGAGUCAAGCCUCUGGUGUUUCCGUACCAUCCCAAGAUCAUGCUGGUACACACUCAGUACAUAAUGUAUAUAUUCAAGAGUUCAAUCACACAGCUUUAUUAAUCGAAAUCUCAUAAAGAGUACUUUAUUACAAUAAAGGAUUACAAUAAAGUGGUUGAAGGCCAUCUCAUGAGAUAUCUAACGAAGAUUAGCGGAAGCAUCAGGUAGACGAGUCCAUCCGACUCCAAGGGCAUGUCGCUGAGCGUAGAUCGUAGCCUCACUCCUGGUCGGAAAAGUACUCUGCAACAUGAUACGUUGCAGCCGUGUAGGUCAGCAUAUUGAAUAUGCCAACAAGUCAUCAAAGAGAGGAGUAAAAUAAUAAUCAACUAUCUCUACAUGCCUAUUUGGCCGGUGGGGCUAAGUUUUGCGUAAAGCCAGUUUUUAUCCUACAACAAGAGGGGUUGGAAGCAAAAUAUUACUACAUUGUUUGUUGUUAACGAGAUGGUUCCGCCAACCAAUUCUCAUACCCGAAUAGUUGAUAACACCCACAUCAUUAUUAAGUUGUGUCGAGAGUUCACGGGAAAUUCAAUGCCUUCGGCUCAAGUUGUCCAUGACCGUGGACACGGCUAAUCGAUUAGGUUGGGCACUCUGCAGAGUUCUGCACACGUUCCCCACAAGAUUUGAUCGCCUCCGGGUUUGUCCUCGCACUUCAGGGUGUUUGAAGACCGGAUGAUCAAAACAUGGUCUUUCAACGGGUCCCUCUGAAUCCCUGUCGGUGCCCAUCCAUUCCUACCGUUCUUCUACAUCUGCUAGCACCGCCUAUCCAGAGUCGCCGUGUUGUCCAACCAAGCCAGAGCCCAUAAUGACUUGUGGCUGUGCAGGUAAGCCUUGAGUCUUGAAGUCUCCGUCCGUCUCUUCGAGCCUGGGUGAAGCUUUUCGCAGGAUGUCAUGGCCUCUCCAGCAUCCCGGGCAUCCACUAGGUUCUCUAGGGAGCCGAUCAACCGUCCUUCACCCAGAGUUGCAUUGCGUCCGAGGUCUUGAAAAUCUUGUCUUAACCGGUCUUGAUUAUUUAAUCAACCUCGCAUCACUCGUGUUAUGCACUCAACCAAAAACCCGUCUACUCAAGCAUAGCAAAUAUAAAAUUGUCGUCCCGGGGCCAAGUAUCUGGGUUGUUGUGUGCCUACCACAUGAUACUACAACUUAUACUAAAGUUUCCAAGUACCUAGGAAGCAUGCAAAAUGGGCAAAGAAAGGUGAACUACCAUGCAUCGAAAACAUAGGAAAAUAACAUGAUCAAAAUGACUUGCCUUGAUGAUAGUUGUCUUGAUCGAGCACUUCUAAGUAACACGCUUCGCACUCCGGAUGAUCUACCGAUACAAACACGAAACACACCAUAAGCACUACAAUCAAGCAACAAGUAAAAAUAACAUCACAAGUAAGGAUUGGUUAAAGCCUCAGUAAAAGAAUUCAACACGCGUCACUAUGGCAGAAACUUGUUUCUGUUAAAAACACCAGUAAAAAAUACUUUAAAAUUUUUGAAACUUCUACCACAGUAAGAUAUAAUCACUAGGAAGCAGUAGCAAAAAGAAUCAACUCAAAAUCAUUUUUUAAACUCCUCGAAUUGGCAAAACACGGUUUAAAUUAAAUCUGUUCUAACUUAUAUUUGAAAAUUUCAAACAUAGACAAAUUAUAUGUUUUUAAAAACUACAGAAACAUUGGAGUCUACUGGAGCAAGAAUAAAUAUCAUUGGACUUCGGGAUCAAAAGUUAUGGCCAAAGAGAAACAAACACUUUGCUGUUUUUGAAACUAGACAGAAAAAAAAAGAAGCUAACUAGCUAACUGACAGGGGUAUACGUGGCGCGCUGUGAUAGGCUGCGGGGGUGUUUGUUGCAAUCGUUAGGAGCAAAUGGCCGAGAGCUAACAGAAACUACUGGCUAACUGUUUAAGUGAAAUAAAAACCAGCGCGGUUUUCUGAUCUAAACCGAAGAGGUAUCCUACUCUAAUCUACACCGUAGAAUAUAGAUCUAAGGUCUAACUAAGAAAAGAAAAAAAACAAACAGGAGGAGGGACCUCACCGUGGCAGUGGCUGGCAACUCCAGCGAGGGGUGGUGUCGCCGGUGAGGGGAGGGGCUCCGGUGGUGGCUGACGGGACGGGGAGGUGGCGGCGGCUGUCCUCCGGCGAGGGGAGGCGUCGGGCGGAGUCGGGGGUGCUCGGGGUGGCUGCUCCUAGGGGGCCGAAGGUGGAGCUCGGGCUGCUGCCGGCGUAGCUGCGGCAGGGGGGCUCGGGGCGGCGGUUCGGUGGGGUGGUGGUGGGAACGGGGUGCGGCCGGGGCUAGGGGCUUAAAUAGGGCGGGAAGGGGGCCGGGGAAGGAAGGAGCAGGGGGUCCGAGAGGAUCCCGGUUCGAGGGGAGCUCGGGCUGGGUCGGGCAUGGAUUUUGGAAGGAGAGGAGGGAGGCGACCGCGGGAAGAGAGGGGGUCGGCCAGGGGGGCCCAGCGGCAGGGGGUGGAGGUGGGGAAGGAAGGGGGCGGUGGGGAGAUCGGCCACCGAUCCUUAGGGGAUUCGGAUCCCGACUGUGGGGGGUGGCGGCCCACAGUUAUACUGCGCCCAGGCGGUUGCCUAAAAAAAGAAACUUUCCUAUUUUAAACUUUUCCGAAACAGAAAAAACAAAAGUGAAAUAAAAGGAAAUAAAUCAAAUAUUUAAUAUAGAGUAUUAUAUACCAAAAAAAUCAGAAAAAUAUCCUCUACCCGAAUAACAUUUUUCCAAAGCAAAAAUAAAAACUUUAAAAAAAUGUUUUUUCAGAAAUUCCUCAAAAUGCUUUAUUUUCUUUUUGCAAAUAUUUUUGCAAAUAAUCUUUGGAUUUCUUGGCUCCAAUAUUUCAGAAAUUGCCCGCACUUUGGAGGGUCAUUUUCCUCCGCUCUCUCUCUUGCGUGCAAGAGAGUAUUUCCCCGGGCAUUUCUCGUGCGAGGAAAAAGAUGGAAAUGCAAAUCAAAAGACGAAAGAAGUCAAGUGCUAAAUUUAUUUCAAUCAAUAUGCAUAGAUGCUUAGCUACAAUGUAAAACAUUCCCAAUUAGGAAAAUUGGGAUGUUACACAUCCUUCUGGUCCUUUGUGGUUGAGGUGUCAGCCUCGGCCAUGAUGUCAUCGCCCUCGGCCUUGGCUUCUGGCGCAGGGGGGGCUUCUCGAGAUACCACAUCCCCAAUCUCCUCGGUGGCAAGGGGAGGUGUGUUGGGCGAGCCGGUCCCGGUUUCAGCGAAAUUGGCUGGCAUAGACUCCCCGUCUGAAACUUGAUAGGUGGGGAAGUCACAUUGCAGGUUGCAAUACGGAAAAUAGGCCUAGUUGAUAGAUCCACGACAUCUAAAAAUGAAGUGUUCGUAUUUUCAAUAAGUACCUUUGUGCUCGGGGUUUCAUCCUAAGGGCCCUUCAAGGGACCGGUGCUUCAUCAUUGAACUCCUCGCCCGAUCCCGGAAUGUCUUCAAAUAAGGCCACGGGGGGCCUGUGUUGCUUCUUUGGAGCAAUGGAAGCUGGAUCUCCCUCGUCAUUUUCAGACGCCACUCUUUUCUUUGUAUGGGAGGAGUCGCUCACCUCCUCAUCAUCAUCUUCUUCAUCUCCCUCCAGGUUGGAGGGAGCCAGUGUCUCUUCGGAACCAGUGUCGAGUGGACCCUUUGACCGAAGACCUUCCUAGAUCUUCUUCUUCCCCUUCUUCUGCUCCCCCUUCUCCCUCGGAGUCGUGUACGGUUUCUCGACCAACAUAGCCGCCAACAGUGGCGACGUAUUGUCUUCAGGAAAAGUCGCCGGACAGUUGAUCUACUCAUACUUUUUUAACUGGACUUGAAAGCAUAGGAGAGAGAAGAAGAGAGUACCUUGUUAAAAGUAAAGGAUGAAAACUAAGGAUAUGAUAAAAAAACCCUACCGACCCGGAAGGGUGUGGAUGGAAAGGCAUGCGUCUUCGUGCUUGGCGGGCCAGACCUUCUGCGGCAUGAAAAGCGCCUUCCACAGUUUCUCGAGGGUAAUGUGGAAAAAGUUCCACACAGUGCCUGCCGCACUAUCCGGAUCCUUCGGAUUAUGAUCCCACAUUGGGAUGGACCGAUAUUGGCAAGGGAGAAGGCGGCGAUGCAACAUUACCUAGAUCACAUUGAUAAGUUCGAUCUUCUUCUCCAAUAUAUUAGAGAUAUUCUUUGUGAGCUCCUUCGCCUGCGCAGCCUCCCCCCAAUCCAGGGCCUUUUCCGUCCAAGACACAAGACGGGUGGGAGGGCCAGAUCUAAACGCUGGAGGUGUUGCCUCACCUAUGAUGCGCGGCUCAAUGAUGUGGAAGCACUCUUUUUGCCACGCUUUGAAAAUAUCUAUAAGUGUGCCUUUUGGCCAUUUGGGCCCAGCAAGCUUGCUGAUCAUAGCCCCUCCACAGUCGUCCUUCUCACGGUUGACGACCUUGGGCUUGACGUUGAGAACCUUCAGCCAUAAGACAAAGUUGGGUUCGACCCACAAGAAAGCCUCAUAGAUCGUGAUGAAGGCGGAGAGGUGGGUGAUGGAGUUUGGAGGGAGAUCAUGAAAGUCAAGCCCGUAGUAGAACAUGACGCCCUAAACAAAGGGGUGGAGGGGAAAACCUAACCCCCGAAGAAAAUGAGGGAUAACAACCACUCUCUCCUCAUCUUUUGGUGUGGGGAUAACCCGACCCUUCUUCGGAGCGUGAUGGACUAUAUUCUCCAGUAGGUAACGUGAGCUCUUUAGCUCGAGGAUGUCCUUCUUGGUGAUAGAGGAGGCCUCACACUUGCCCUUUGAUCCUGAGCUAGCCAUUGCCGAAUUGAUGGAGGGAUUCAAGAGGAUGAGAGGAGAAGAAAGGCCUGAGCAUUGGAGCUUUGGAGGCAAGGAAUGGUGACGACGUUGCAAGAUCUGAAGUGCGUGAGGGGGCUGCGGUGUCGGUUUUACCUUUUAUGACUCGCUGAAAUACCAAGAGCCCCACCACUGCGCCAUGAACUCCUCCGUUUCCUGAUAAAAUUGUGCGGUUAUGGGCGCGUUGGAUAACCCAAAUCAUAAAACAUAUCCCUGGAAACGAGGGACAUGAUCUCUGUGAUGGAACAUGUUAGUAAAAAAGGUCUUGAACCGCUCCUUCAUAAAGGAUUAUAGGCCUUGACCGGUCGUGACCUGUCAAGUAGAGGAACAAAUACUCUUCACGGUCAAACAGUCGGCCUGGAACUUGCAAUUUCUAUUAUAUAUAUAUAUAAUAGAAAUUGCAAGUUCCAGGCCGACUGUUUGACCGUGAAGAGUAUUUGNUGUGUGUGUGUGUGUUGGAAGGAAUCAAUGUUAUUGGCACCCGAACUAUCGCCGGUUGAAGGAAGGGAAGAACUCGCCUCGCAAGCCGAAGACUAUGAAGCGGCCAGAGGUUGAAGGUUUCGGCACUGGAGGCCAGUUCGAGGGCUACGAAGGGAGUCCGAGACUAAAGGGUCCUCGGGCAGCUUAUCUGUUCUCAUGGGCCGGACUCCUGGGCCUGUUCGAUCAUCAUUGGAGGUGUUCGAAUCAAGGUGGACUCUUCUGAAGACUUGGCGUACAAUCCAAGGCGAUGUAGUAAUCGGCAUAUUCCUUUUUCAUUAUAACCGACUUUGUGUAACCCUAGCACCCCUCGUAUCUAUAUAAACUAGGGGUCCAUAGUUCGUAGGACACAUUAAGCUCAUUACGGUUAGGGUUUUAGACGACGACAGUCGAUCUCGAGGUAGAUCAACUAUGUACUCUAUAAUACUUCAUCAAUACAACAAGGGCAAGGCAUAGGGUUUCACCUCCUUCAAUAUGGCCCGAACCUGGAUAAACGUCAUCUCUUUCAUCCCUUGUUAACCAUUGAUCCAAGAUCCACAAUUCGGACCCCCUAUUCGAGAUCAGCCGGUUUUGACAGCGACAACGAUGGAGCUAGAACUAUACCGUUUGUGAUUGGUGGAUCACACACAGUUUGGUCGAAGGGACUGAGAUUCAUGUGUCGUCUUAGGACCUUCCCGCAGUAGUGCCCUUAGAUAACAAAGAGGAGUUUCAACUAGCAACUAGACCAAGGACCCAUAUAUAUUGUUAUGUUAUGUUAAUGGGGGCAUGGUUUGAUGAUACACUAGUUUGGCCACUAGGAGGUAAUGAUACAUGCAUGACAGUCUCCAUGUAGGGACCGAGCUCAAAGGCAUAAUUAUAUUUUUUUGCUUAUUAAUUACAAUAAACCGGAACUACACAAUGUGCAUGUAUAUUUAUUGUAUAAACAUGUGCACUAAGAAAACCUAGGACCCAAUACUCUAAAUAGACAAAAUGUAUUUUGACCAACAUUCUUAUGUUUUUUUCCUACAAAUAGAAUAUGAUUUUUUUAUUAAAUGAUAUAUUUUUUCUACUAAUUGGAGGCAGUGCAUUGUUAUUCAUUUCGAAAUGGUUUUUUCAUCAAACAAGUAUAGUAUCCAUAAUGGAGCGACUUAGACGAACACAAGAAACAUAGAUCCUUGAUAAAAACAGAAGUUACACUAAUGUUGUCGUGGUCUCCAAGUCCUUCUCAUUUUGAUUUUCCUCUAAGCCUCUUGUACCAAAAGUUGCACCAAGAAAAUCCUGCACAAAGUACGACUAAUCUUAGGGGAUCUUAAGAGCCACCUGAGCGGAUCACCUCAGUAGGCAAGAACUUAAUAUCGUCUAUCACAUGACUAGGAUACACCUCUUGCAAGCAUGAUGGUUGAUCACUAGAUUCCAAUCACUACAAGAUAAUAUAUAGAGCACGAAGAAAUAGAGUCAAAGAACCAUAAUCACCGAUGCAUCUUCCAAGUUAAGACGGAACAUCAAACGAGAAAUUACUAGAUUAGGGUCGAUCUGCUGGUACCAUACACACCACCGAAUCUUUGAUGUACUAUGAAUACUAAAUCGUGACGGGGACAUAAAUAGAUGGCUUCCAAGCAUUGGUUAGGGGUUCCCCUACCACCACCUCGCGCCAUGAAGGUCACUAGAAGCGAGAAGAACUGAUGGAAAAUAUAAAUUAUGAUGUCUUCCUGUCAUCCCUUGUACCCCAGUGGCGUGCACUUCAUUCACAUAUAUAAUCCUGGCCACAUAGUCGUGAUUGUUUGUGAACAAUCAAAUUGUGUGAGUGUGAAUAGUUGCUAAUAGAUACUAGUGUAUCCUUUGGAUUACAUAUUUUCAACCCUUUUCUGUUUAGGCUCUUUUGGAUCACAUGAACAUUAUUGAAGACUAUCCAUAGAUAUUGCAUCUUCUUCCAUAGAAGUUUUACUAUCACUAACUGCCUUUUCACUUAUUCAUAGUGUGUUUCCAAGUAUACAUGAGGUGAUCAUAAUACGCGGGAAAACAUUAAUGAGAUGUCUGCCUCUCCUUGGCACCGCGAUGUUUAUGCAUGUCAUACACUUAUAACUUGACUAGAUGGUUGUUGAAGAAAAACAAUCAAAACGUGCAAUUGUGAAUAGUUAAUAUCAACAUUAAGGUGUCAUUUGGCUUAAAAGAUUUUCAUAGAACCUCUAGCUUAUUAGACUCCUUUGGAUCACAUAUUCACAUGGUCGUUGCUGAUUAGUUUCCAUACUUAUUGCUUCUUGUUCCACAGAAGUUUCAUUAUCGCUAACUUUUUGUUCACUUAUUUCAUCUAGGAUCAAUGCACUUUUGCGUGUUUCGUAGUAUAUGUUAUUCAACAAGAUGGCAAUGCCCGGAUUUGAGGUUUGUUGUGUUGUCUUGCCCUAAAUUUGGCUAGGGCUCAGUUUAAGUGUUUGUCUAGCGAUGAUGUCAUCAACGGCGCGGAAUGAGGUCUCGUGUCAUCCUCGUCCCCGUGGGAAUGAUUGACAUUGGCAAAUAUCAUGUGGAGUUUUAGCCAGGACAAGUAUUGUGCUUGUUACUGUCUAUGUUUCGUCUAGGUUGUCUUGGACGACAUCGUUUAACAAAUUGGACAACAAUAGUUCAUCUUUUGGUUAUCUGGCUUCUUCCCCGCUCAACGGUGCAUGGACAACUUCGAGAUCGUUGGGAAUCUAGCGAGGUAAAGUCUCCCGGUUCUUUCUUGCUUGAGUUCGGAUGGUUGUCUAGCUGCUUCGCCUUCUUCUUCGGGACGAGGAUCUGGUCUUUCAUUCAUUAGCGCCAUAUUCAUCUCGCUUCCACCAGCAACUUCUCGGCCACUUUGCCAACAAUGUUACCCAUUCUCCUAGGGUAUUCCAAAGAUCCAGAGUCGACAUCAGGCUAUGUUCAUGGGAGCAUCACGCCAUCGACGAGUGCGGUAAGGUGAUAGACUGGAUAUAUAGAAAGACAUGUAUUGUACACACAAUUAAGAUUUCUUUCGAGGCGGAGGCAAAAGAUUUUCCCCGUCCAUUAAAUAAUAGGAGAAUAGAGUUUUACAAGUGUCUCAAGAAUACGACAUGACAAUCACUCGCGACAAACAAUAAGCCCUAAUUUCUUAGCACCCGUCGUCACCCAAAGAUUAGCCUUGUCGAUGACGUUUUUAGGAGGAUUGGCGAUGGCGCGCUCUUGUGUCGGAACACCCGUGUGUUUCUCUCAUUCCAGAUUGUCCAGGAGACGAGCAUGAUGAGGGAGACCAUAUCCUUCCCAUAUGGAUUUCUCAUGUCGGUUCUCUUAUCCCACCAUUCGAGGACGUAUUAAUCAAGGUGCUAGUCUGUAGUGUCUAUGUGCGCAAGGCCAAACCUUUGAAUGAACAGCCGCCACAACCAAAUAGUGAAGCGAAAGUUGGCGAAAAGGUGAAUGCCCGUCUCUUUCUAUCGCUUGCAAAGUGGACAAAGUCCACAACUUGGCCAGACACAGCGCUUCAAACGGUCGGCGGUCCAAAUCCAGUUUUGCAAAGCCAGCCAUGCGAAGAAUUUGACCUUUGAGGGUGCCCAAGCUUUCCAGACCAUGGUAUCCAUGGGUAAAAGAGUCAACCCAAGGAAUUGUGCCAUGUAAGAAAUUACCGCCGAGUAAAUCCCAUCGACGUAGUGUUUCCAAACAAUGUCAUCAUCGACAUUCAUAUCAAUAUGGAAGUCAUGAACCAACAUCCAAAGGGUGAAGACUUCCUGGAUGUGGUCACCGGGGAUGACGGUGUUGCGGCAUGCAUUCCCAUUGAGUGCCUCCCUCACUUUCCAAUUCUUUCUCCUUGAGGCUUCAUGAAUUAGUGGUGUAAUAUUCUUGUGCUUGCGACCAAGUAGCCACGGAGAGUCCAAGAAGGACGUUCUUGCCCCAUUUUCGAGGACGAUGGUGGUGGACGCAUAGAAGAAAUCGAUACCUUCCUCGGUGCAUGAGUUGCCCAAUCCCACCCAAAAUUUGUUGGGCGCCUUCCAUUCAUAUCACAACCAUCUCAAACGCAAGACCAUGGCAAAUUUAUUGGUGUUAAGCACCCCUAGGUCGCAGUAGUCCUUAAGAAGGCAUACAACUUUCCAAUUGAUUUUGCAUUUUACACCGGUUGUCUUGUCUGAAUCAGAAUAAAGAAAUGUGUUCUCGAUCUUGUUUAAGUUUUGAAGAGAGCCCUUCGACACAAUGAGGGAUUGAUGGGAGAGAUGGACUAGACCGCGUGAGACCACACAAGAGAUAUAGUCAAUCAUCAGUCGAGACAUACACGGGACUACACACAUCCUUGCGGCAGAAGAUCCGAGCUAGCGUGCAUCGUCUCAGUCUCCUUCCGCAUCUCAGAUCGAUCUAGCCCUCUUCUGAACCCAGCACCUCUGUCUCUCGUCUUCGGUCGCCGGCCACCACCAUGGCCGAAUCCCCACCCCAAAUCCUACCCUUCAUCCUCCUCUCCCUCAUCCUCCUCUCGAUAGCCCCCGCCGCCAGCGCGGCCGCGUUCGCCGGCCUCGACGCCUUCCUCGCGUCGGCCGCCGCGCGCGACCACUCGGCCGCCAACGACACCUUCGGCUCUCUCCCCGCCGGCCUGCGCCGCGCGCUCUCCGCCCCGUCCCCGAUCUCCCCAUCUCGCCUCCUCUCCCUCUCCGCCGCCGUCCCCGUCAACGUCCGCCUCGCCGGCUCCUCCUUCCCGGACACCUCCGCCCGCCUCCUCCCUUCCCUCGUCUCGUCCGCCGUGUCAUCCUCCCACUUCCUCUCCAGCCGCCCCCCGCACCGCCUCGCGGUCUCCCACAACAUCCACCUCGAUGUCGCCGCCCUCGUCGCAUCCUCCGACCUCGUGACCCGGGCCGCGACCGCCGUCCUCGCCCACCUCAAUGCAGCCCCCGCGCCCUUCCACUCCAACGCCCUCUCCUCCGUGCCGUACAAAAUCGUCGACGAUAUCGUCGCUGAGGACUACCGAGCGCACGCCGGCUCGGCUUCCUCCCCGGCCGUCUACAUCUACUUGCUCGACCUCGGCCCGCAGCCGCGUCCGUACGCCUACACCGCGGCCUCCUCCUCUGCCGAUGGUCAUUCGCCUGCAUUCUCCCGCUGCCUCGCCCCUCUCUGGACUGGCAAGGAGCGCUACAUCUGGAUCGACCUAGGUGCAGGCCCGGUGGAUUACGGUCCGGCGCUCUCCGGCGAAGGCGUACUCCCUCGUGGUGAGUUUCAUCCUCUUGCUGCUCUCCACGGCCGCCCCAAGUCGGAUAAAGCAGUCCUCGCGGAUCUGGCCUCACUGGUUCUCAGUGCUUACAAGUCGUUGCUAGUGCCCUCGCUCAGAAUCCCAGUGCAUUAUGAGAGCUCUUUGCUUAUUCGUUUUAUUCACAUCCAUGGUGAAGAGAAAGAUCCCGUUGGACUCGAUUGGAGUUCGAUUGAACAAUCAAUUCGGGAUGGAGAUCUGCCCUUCGAUGGGCAGAGCUUAAAGUUUGAUUUGCACAGUGUCAAGUACUCCGAGUGCUCAAUUUGCUCAUUUGCAAUUGCCCGCUCAACACACUCAUUUACAUCCAGGUUCUUGUUUGAGAAUUACACGAUGAUAGUGAGUGAUUACUUGGACUCCAAGAGGAUGAGGCAGGUGCUGUCAGACUCAUCGGAUGAGAUGCAUCGUGUGGCUGGGAUUCAUGAUGACGAUGAGCAUGACAAGAUUGUGCCAGUUUAUGUUUUUGAUUUGGAUUUCGAUAAGCUUCUGUUGUUGGAUAGGUACCACCAAGCGGUGGCUUUCCGUGAUAUGGUGGUUGCUGUGAGGACAAGGAGCUCGCAAACAGUCAGUGACUACAGCUGUAAUGGUCGACAUGUAAUUACAAUGACUAGAAAUCUAGAUCGUCCGAUCAUCAGCUCAGUUCUGCAGACCAUGUUUGGUGUGUCACCAACACACCAGUCAUGGAGCCCUGAGCACAAUGCCACCGUUGUUGAUUACACUUGGAGCACUGGACAUACACCAUUUGGACCGUUCUCAGAGACCAAAUCACUGUCUUUUGUUCAGAAAGAUGCAGCCCGUAGGAAUGUUCUUCUUACCACCCUCAACUACACAAUCACCAGUACAGUUGAGGUUCUGGAGUCACUGGCUGCCCAUGGCGGGGAGAAUAUACUCCUUAGAAAGAAAAGGCAUGUUGAGUUCAUUCAAAGGUGGAAUCUGCUCACUUAUAAGUUGGAGAAGGUGGUUUCAGCCAUGUCCCGCCUGGAUUACAACAAGGCAAUGUAUCUUUUGCGAUCUUCAGAUCAUGAUAUGUAUGCCAUUUACAUGUUGGUAUAUCAGGCUUCUCAGGAGCUGGAGGCCUCACUGGUUUGCUUCAAAGACCCACCAUUCCCAUGGCUGUCAGUUUCCUUGUCUGGAGUCUUUGUUUUUGGUUUCCUUUUUGUGUAUUCUAAGAGGGAUAGUUUGUUUAGGAGCAAAAGGAAGCAGUUCUGAGUUCUGACAGCAGUUUUGUUGGUGGAUACUGUUUGAAAGCUUCACCCUGAUGCGACCAUAGUUGACGGCUGCCAGGAAAUUGCAUCCUUGCAUAUUACAUGGAGCAGUGACUAGACACUCGCAAUGGGUGCAUCUUGUUCCAAGAUAAACUUAUAAGAGGUAUUCUAGAUUAUUUGAGGGAGUCAACACUUCCACUUGUCUUGUAAGUUUAAUGUGCCUGAAUUGCCCUUCAUACAUAAUGUUGAUCUAGAUUUUGCAGACAUUAUGUGUUCUAUUUUGUUGACUAGCAUGUUCCCUGUCAUAUUUGCUGUGUGCAUCCCAUGCUCGUGUCUGGUUUCUACAUGUUAGAUUCUACAGUUUCCGUGGUAAAAAAAGAACCGCACGACUAUCAUAACUGUAGUAACUUCAAGGCUUCAAUCCUUGGCAUUUGUGUCACACGUGUAGGAAUCUAUCCGGUCUUUAUUAAGCUUGAUGAAUAGCUGAUGUCCUUGAGAACCUAAGG